rnacentral:lncRNA from 1 species
CGGAGAUCCGCUGCAGCCCAGAGCCCCUGAAGACGCCGGCCCCCUCUCCAAGGAUGGAGGAUGCCUGGGGCUUCCCCCGCGGCAGGCGGCAGUCAGAGCCGCCCAAAUUCAUGUGCAGCCCGGAGAGAGCCCGCAAAAGCUGCCCCGUCGUCCAGCCGGACGGCCCCACUCAGUACCGCCGGGGGCGCAGGCAGUCCGAGCCGACCACUGAGCUGAGCCAGAUGGGGCAGGAGCAGAACGGUAA